rnacentral:rRNA from 1 species
UACGUAGGGCGCAAGCGUUGUCCGGAAUUAUUGGGCGUAAGAGCUCGUAGGCGGUUUGUCGCGUCUGCUGUGAAAACCUAAGGCUCAACCUUGGGCUUGCAGUGGGUACGGGCAGACUAGAGUGCGGUAGGGGUGACUGGAAUUCCUGGUGUAGCGGUGGAAUGCGCAGAUAUCAGGAGGAACACCGAUGGCGAAGGCAGGUCACUGGGCCGCAACUGACGCUGAGGAGCGAAAGCAUGGGGAGCGAACAGG